GUAGAAGGAGUACAUAUACUAAAGUUGGAACGAUAGAGAGAAGAUUAGCAUGGUCCCUGCGCAAGAAUGACAUGCAAAUUUGUGAAGCGUUCCAUAUUUUU